AGGUAGCAUAAUAAAUAGUCUUUUAAUUGAAGUCUAGUAUGAAUGGUCGGACAUGAAGUAAGCUGUUUCGGCUUUGAUCUUUGAAUUUUACUUUUAAGUGAAAAGGCUUAAAUAGAGUGGUGGGACGAUAAGACCCUAUAAAGCUUUACGGUUUAUUCUUCGGUUGCGAGGUUUAAGGUUUCUUAUUCUUAUCGAAUAAAACGUUUCGUUGGGGCGACGGGAAUAUAAAUAAAGUAGCUGUUUUUGUUUGAAAAAUAUGUUUUUAUAGGUGAGUUGAUCCUUUUUAGAGAUUAUAAGAUUUAAGUUACUUUAGGGAUAACAG
rnacentral:rRNA from 1 species